rnacentral:rRNA from 1 species
AUUGAACGCUGGCGGCAUGCUUUACACAUGCAAGUCGAACGGCAGCGCGGGCUUCGGCCUGGCGGCGAGUGGCGAUCGGGUGAGUAAUGCAUCGGAACGUGCCCAGUAGUGGGGGAUAGCCCGGCGAAAGCCGGAUUAAUACCGCAUACGACCUGAGGGUGAAAGCGGGGGACCGAAAGGCCUCGCACUAUUGGAGCGGCCGAUGUCGGAUUAGCUAGUUGGUGGGGUAAAGGCUUACCAAGGCGACGAUCCGUAGCUGGUCUGAGAGGACGACCAGCCACACUGGGACUGAGACACGGCCCAGACUCCUACGGGAGGCAGCAGUGGGGAAUUUUGGACAAUGGGGGCAACCCUGAUCCAGCCAUGCCGCGUGCGGGAAGAAGGCCUUCGGGUUGUAAACCGCUUUUGUUCGGGAAGAAAUCCUCUGGGCUAAUACCCCGGGGGGAUGACGGUACCGGAAGAAUAAGCACCGGCUAACUACGUG